rnacentral:rRNA from 1 species
UAGAGUUUGAUCAUGGCUCAGAUUGAACGCUGGCGGCAGGCCUAACACAUGCAAGUCGAGCGGAAACGAGAAUAGCUUGCUAUUCGGCGUCGAGCGGCGGACGGGUGAGUAAUGCCUGGGAAAUUGCCCUGAUGUGGGGGAUAACCAUUGGAAACGAUGGCUAAUACCGCAUAAUAGCUUCGGCUUAAAGAGGGGGACCUUCGGGCCUCUCGCUUCAGGAUAUGCCCAGGUGGGAUUAGCUAGUUGGUGAGGUAAAGGCUCACCAAGGCGACGAUCCCUAGCUGGUCUGAGAGGAUGAUCAGCCACACUGGAACUGAGACACGGUCCAGACUCCUACGGGAGGCAGCAGUGGGGAAUAUUGCACAAUGGGCGCAAGCCUGAUGCAGCCAUGCCGCGUGUAUGAAGAAGGCCUUCGGGUUGUAAAGUACUUUCAGCAGUGAGGAAGGGUGUGUAGUUAAUAACUGCAUACUUUGACGUUAGCUGCGGAAGAAGCACCGGCUAACUCCGUGCCAGCAGCCGCGGUAAUACGGAGGGUGCGAGCGUUAAUCGGAAUUACUGGGCGUAAAGCGCAUGCAGGUGGUUUGUUAAGUCAGAUGUGAAAGCCCGGGGCUCAACCUCGGAACCGCAUUUGAAACUGGCAGGCUAGAGUACUGUAGAGGGGGGUAGAAUUUCA